AUGGAUGCUGAGGGAGGCCGUGUGAUCCACCGGAGAAAGCGCACGGGGACGCUCGCGGUGGUGGUCGCCGUGCAGAACGUGGUCGUGGCCGCCUGCCUGAUUGCCACUCUUUUCCUUUACUUGGACUUCCCGAAGGAUACGUCAACUGACACGACUGUGCACAUAGAGUUCGAUCCAUUUACAGUCCCCCGAGGAAAUAAAAUACUGGAGUUUCAGGCAAUUGCAAGCCAGUACAAAAUGGAUGUAAAUACGGAUAAAAAUAAGAUCGACAUCACAUGCAGAGGGCCCUACAUUUGGUAUAUGGAUGUGUGCUACAAGUCAUUGGAACAUGGGAAGGUGACCGAAGGGACACUGCAGCUGAAGAUGGAUGAUACUGCUGUCAGUAGCGUCAAUCUGACUGUUUCAAAUGAGGUCUGCAGGGGGCACCAGAGCAUAGUCUAUCUCAGGGCAAACACGAAGUCUAGUCUGCACUUGUCCCACGCAGACGAAUUCAGGCUCUUGAAUGUGACCAUGGGCCUAAGCUAUCUGCUGGGAAAAAGGUGUGAAUUCUGAUGAGGGCCAAGACGUGCCUUCAGAAGAACAAAACCAGCACUGGCUGGUAUGAAAAGAGAACUCGACACUGAACUGUGCUCAUCUGCCAAGUGACAACAGACACACUAAGCCUGAUUCAAGCUGAUGACACGAGUUGUGUUGACAGAGUCUCUUUUUGUUUUCUUUAAUCACCUCAGCCAGGGUUGCAGUGAAAUCUCGACAGUAUGUGCGCAGCCCUGGGCACGAGCAACUUGGUGGACUUUGGUGGUGACACAAUCUGUUUUCGUUAACACAAAAUAGCUAAAAAAAAGAAAAAACAAAAACAAAAAAAGCAAGACAGUGUAUUUGAUUUCUUGAAUAAGCAUAAUUUUUUAUGCACAAAGCCCACACUGAUUCCUAUUCUUAAACCAUUCUGAUUGAGUCUGUAACUGACUGUUAUUUUUCUUAUUGAUUUAUUGUCCAUUUAUUUUUUAUGCCAUUGAUGGUUUGAUUCUGAAAACAAACCGAAUAAUGAUUGCUUUUCCUUUUUUCUUUUAAACUCAUCGUGCUUAUCUCCAUUUCCUGGUGCCAAAAAGUGACUUUUUCAGCAUCCAAAACCAAAGUUAUUCAGCUUACUCUUAUGCAAGAAGAUUAAAAAAACCCAAACAUUUUAAACGCUGAAAUCAGAGGCUGACUUAAAUGCUUAAUGAUGACUGACUUUUAAAGGUUUACAUUAAAUGUAAUUGGUAUCAGUUUUUGUUAAGGUUGAAUAUGCAGCUACAUGUUAUCCAAAACAAACCCUGGCCUGGCCUCACAGGCCUCUGCUUGUUAAUGGGUUAUGAAAUUUCUGCACUUCUCAGGUGUACCCUAAUUUUACAUAUAUGUAUCCUAUAAUAUCCAGUACUUUAUUAUUAUUGUUGUUGUUAUUAUUAUUUUUUUUACUUAAAUGUUUGUUGUACCAAAUGAAUGUAUUUGUUAUGGUGCAUUUGCCUCCUGUGUAGCUCCGAUCUGAGUCUGUAAACUUUCUGUGUGCCAACAAAACAUUCCUCACACAUUUUUAUGUUGGAUUUUCUGUCAUAAUACCAGCACGACUACAGCAGAAGCAUGUGGGAGAGCCUUUUUUGGGGCUCUUUUUUGCCUACAUGCUGUUAGACAUUAUCUAAUCUACUCUGUGCUUGUGGUCCUGGAUUAUUACUUAUCAGGCUAUAUGAUGCUGCAGUUACACUGGCACACAGACCUCUCAGAGUAAAGACCAGAGAGGAGAUGAAUGUAAUGGGACUUUUUGAUUGUAUAUGCACUUGCAGUGUGCACAGUCCUUGGAUUUGUGUGUGUGCGUGUGUGCGUGUGUGUGUGUGUGUGUGUGUGUGUGUGUGUGUGUGCGUGUGUGUGUUUAAAUUAUGCAUAAAGCACAGACCAAGUGUUGACUGAAGUUCAUCAUAUUGUGGUGUAUUAGUUAAGCUAUUAUAUUUAAAAUAAAAAGUCACAUUUUCAUGAUUGUUUGGCACACUGUAAAACAUCUGGUACAAUGUAAAUGUAAUAAAACAUUUUAUGCAGGCUGAAAAAAAAACUGUGUUUACAUUUUUGUUUUCAAAUGAUCUGGUACUGGUGAUACUUGCAAACUGAGCUAAAGGAGGCUUCUUGUUUUAGCUGGAUUUUCUGCUGCAUGAUUUAACAAUGCAUACUUAAUCCAGGGUUUAUACAAUGUUUCUACCUCCUGUAAGGUCUGGCCUAGU